rnacentral:antisense_RNA from 1 species
CUUUAUGGUGGUCAUGCGCAGGGCUCCUUCGGGGGCGCCGGGUCCUAGUUGCCGGUCUACCAACCCGCGUAUGGCCACCACUCUU